UUUUCACAGGUUCAGGAGAUAACCUUUACACCCCUCAACGUAACCCUUACACACCUCCCUUAGAACAACCUCUAAGCUCAAGGAGGAGGAAACUCAAUCUUUUCAACACAUUUACAACUUAGAAUUCUUUCCCCUUUCUACUUAAUUCUUUUAUCUCCAUGCAGGAAUAGCUGAGGUAUUCAUAUACCCCAAAUGACUUAAAAAAGGAGCCAAAAAAGGUCUCAUCUCGGGUUUCCCGGGUCCUGACGGUGCCAUCGUUUGUGCUAGGCGGUACUAUCGCCUACAACACUGACACUAGGCGGUACCAUCGCCCGGACUGACGAUACCACCACUUGACACAGUUUGGGAGAUUGUGUCUGAGUGGUACCAUCGCUUGACACUAAGCGGUACCACCGUCCAAUCUGGUGGUGCUACCGCUUGACAUAGUCUCAGAGACUGUGUCUUGAAGACUAAGCCUCUAGCGGUGCCACCACUUGACCUAACUUUUGGAUCAUUGAAUGGACCUUUCUCUUGGCCCAAAACAACCCCAUUUUGGGCCCAAUUGGUCCAUAAUUGAGUUGGCCUAAUUACAUUCUAAACCAACCCAAUUAGAAUUAAAAAUACUUCGAUCUAGACAAUUAUUACAAAGUAUUAAUCAUAUGUUGUCCGAUAUGCCAUUGGUUUAUUCGGCGCUUCAUCCGAUCCUUCGACGCAUCGUCCUCUCCUUUAACGUAUUGCCUAAUCGACAUGUUGUCUUCCCGCAACAUUCGAUCUCAUUGGCGCAAUGUUCGAUCUUCUUGGCCCGAUGCUCGAACUCAUGACACGAAACCUUCUGUCGACACGUUGAUCGAUCGUCCAACCCAACAUCCAAUCUCUUGACAUGUUCCACUUCGGCCUAACAUUGAUUCUUCCUACUUUAAUUGUCUCUUCAUGAUCGAAGCUAGUCCUGUAUCACUCAAAAUGCAGAUUAUAUUAUAAAUGUUAUCAAUUGGUUUUGAUCAUCAAAAUUCGAGAUUCAACAAUUCCUUGAUCCUAUAAUGGCUUCGGGAUGAUGAUGUUUGAAGAAGAGAACUUUGGUGAGAUUUUAGAUGGUCAAAGGAGUAUCUUAAAUUACAUUGGUGAUAUUUCCCCCUAAUUUCUUUGGAGAAAUAAAUAGUAACCAAUUAAGAGUUUAGAGAAACUUCCCUUGGCCAAUACAAGGAGUGCAUCAGGUGCCAAGGCCUUAAACCGGCCAAAAUAGGAAAUAUUUUCUAAUAUAAUUCCAUUAGGAUUUGAACUAGCCAAACCUCAAGUUGUUGCAUUAGCCUUAGAUUAUCACACUGAAGAAUCCAACUAGGGCAUAAGGGUACUUCAACGAGAGAAUAUUUUAAAUAUUUUAAAUAUUUUUAUUUUAUAUACUAUUAAAAUUGAGACUAAGUUGAAUUGAACUAGGAGAAGAAAAAGAGAAGGGAGUUAGUAAUCGAUAAAAAUACAAGUGUAUAAACUUUUGGAUGCUCUUGAACCAUUCUCACUUUUUAAAUUAAUAAAUUAUGAUCUCCUUCAAACUAAAACACUUACUAAAGGUGACAUUUUGACAUCAUGACAAAUCUCAUAUUUUUAUCAUUCAUUUAAAUUAUGCUUUAAAAUUUUGGCCAUUGGUUUUAUUUAGCAAGAGUAGAUUUUGACACACCUAAUGUAUAGUGAUAACUAUACAGUCCUUACUUUUGAGGUGCAAAUCAAUCUCAAAUCUGAUAUGGUUGUCAAGGUUUAUUGUUUUGCAUUAACCAAGUGCAUUGGUCCAGCAAUAUUUCUUGUCUAGUAUACCUUGUGUCAAUACUAGCAUGUACUGGUAAUUUAAAUAGUCAACUAAAAUCAGUUGAAGUAAGAAAAACAAAAUCAUAUUUCAAGGUCAGUUAUUCUCAUUUCUUGGUAUAUAAAAUUAAAUAAGAGUAAAUAAUAUCUAAACCAUAAAUGAACAAAAAAUAAAAAUUAUAAUUCUUAUUUUUUGGAUUUUUCAAGGAAGAACUUUAUACCAGACAAGCAUCUUCGUUGCCCAAUCUUAAUCACAUACAAAAAAAAAGAGUUGAAGAUUUGAAUUAGGCAUCGAAACUUUAAGAUCCAAGUAAAAUAAACUAAUCCCAAUAGUUUAUUUUGCUUGAAUAUAUACAUGUUUCUAUAAUAUAUAUAUAUAUAUAUAUAUAUAUAUAUAUAUAUAUAUAUAUAUAUAUAUACCACGGUAAGUGGUAGAGUUGAGAUGGCAACAUUAAUAUAUACAUAACCUCUUGAAAAAAAAGUUUGAUUAAUUUUGUAGCAUAAGAAACGUUACAAAGUUAUACUAUGAGACAAGGUUUGUCGUACCAAAUAGUACCACUCAGUAUGAGUGAUAUAUACCAAUUCGAUAAGGGAUUGGUACGCUCGAUACCGCUUGAUACGUAUGGUACAUAAUGGUCCGAUAAGGGAUUGAUACAUAGACCGUCCUUCACCGGGCAGUCCCAUUAUAUGACCCGUAUCGGGCAAAUACAAGAUUUGUACAUAUCGAUAACAGAUGGAUUUUGACCAUUAUCGUUUCAGGACUCGGAUUGCCAUAUUUCAAAUGAUCAAUUUAAUCGUUGAAUUAUAGGAAAGAAUUUUUAAACCCUUUCAUCCAUCACAUCAUCCGCCCAGGGUGCAAAGGUAAAGGCAAAGAGGAAGGCAAUAACAUCAAUUCUCUUCUUAAUUGGAGAACAUCCAAGGGAGUGCCUAUGCUAUGAAGGAAGAGUUGCUGGGGUUAUCCCAAGAGCUAGACUUGGGUGAAGGCUCUAAAUUCUGAGUAUAAAUUAUCCAUAGGUUUCAAGAAGGGUUUGAAAAGGUUGGGGUUGGCCUCUUAUAAAUUUGGGUACUUGAUUACUUUAACGUGUUUUAAAGCGAGAUACCUUGGAUUGGAGCUUGAGGAGGAUCCGUUUAUUGACUGCCCUAAGGAUCGAGACGUUUAAAUGGCUUUCCAUUUUAUGGAUAAAACUUUUUAAGUUUGGAGAUAUGCCAUGUUCUUAGUAAUGUUCUUCCUUCUAUUGUACCGAGGCAACAUGUUCCGUCUCAGAUGACUUCGAUGACCCGAUAGGGCCCUUCCCAGUUCGAUGCUAACUUUCCUCGAGAUCAAGUGGGGUCAUAGAUCUCGGCUUUGGGUAGCACCUAGUCCCCUAGUCGAAUGCCUUGAGGGCGAACACCUUGAUCGUUGAGCUUGGUCAUCGCCUUCUUAUAUCUCAAAAUCCAUAGAUGUGCAACGGCUCUAACCUCAUUCAUCAGAUUGAGCCUGGCUCGAAGUCUAGCUUCGGAAGUUUAUUGGUCAAAAUUUUUGACACAAAGCAUUGGGAAGAUUACCUCGGGUGGUAAGUACCAUAGGCUAGACUGAAGGGUGAUUCUCUUGAAUAUGUCUCUGGUGUCAUUCGGGCUUUAUAUCUUCCCUCUAUUUGACUCACGACUAGCUGAGAGCCAUUGAACACCGUUAAUUCUUGAACUUGGAGUUCUAGUGUGAGCCGGAAUCUCGAGAGAAGUGCUUCAUAUUUGGCCUCGUUAUUAGAGAUCUUGAUCCGGAAUUUGAGGGCCUGUUCAAAUGUCUGUUAGUCCGGGCCCUUUAGAACGACCCCAGCGUCGCCUCUAUGGGAGGUGGUAGAACCAUCAACGAAUAAUGUCCAGGCUAUGGGAGCAAGGCUAUCCUUAGGUGGGCAAGUUAGCUCCGAGAUGAAGUUUACCAGGGCUUAGGCUUUUAUGGCAGUUCUUGGCACGUAUUGAAUGUCGAAUUUAUUGAGUUAUAUGAACCAUUUGAGUAACCUCCCUGCAACAUUGAAUCGGGAUAAAAACCUAUCGAAGCGGUUGGUCGGUGACGACUUAUAUAACAUGCGCUUGGAAGUAAAGACGAAGCUUUCUUGCUGUAAACACUAAUACAAGUGCCAUUCGUUCAAUCGGAGGGUACCGUUCUUCGGGUCCAUUCAAGAUGUGGUUGACAUAUGGGCUUUUGUCCUCCCGUACUGUCUUGAACUAAGGCGGAGCUGACAACCAGGUCAGUAGUGACCUCCCUGCAACGUCAAAUUGGGAUGAAAACCUAUCAAAGCGGUUGGUCGGUGAUGACAUGUAUAACAUGCGCUUGGAAGUAAAGAUGAUUGGUACUUUAGUUUUUCGAUAGUCUCCUGGCAUUCCCGAGUCCACAGGAAACCUUUUGAUUUUUUAGGAGCUCAGAAGAAAGGUUGGCACUUGUCUUCGGCUCGAGAUAAGAAUCGGCUCAAAGCUACCAUUCGUCCCGUCGGCCAUUGGAUAUCUUUUAUCAUUGAGGUGGACGCAUUUUUAAUAUGGAUUGUACUUUUUUAGGAUGUAUGUCUAUCCCUCUCUAAUGAAUGACAAAUCUGAAACAAAAUUUCGAGUGUACUUCGAAAGCAUGUUUGGUUGGAUUAAGAUGCAUGUUGUAUCUCUUGAGGAUUGGAAAGGUCUUUGCCAAGUCAACUAGGUGCGAAUCAGUUGUUUUGCUUUUGACUAUCGUGUCAUCCAUAUAUGCUUUGAUAUUCCUCCUGAUCUGGUGCUUAAAGAUUUUGUUUACCAUCCUUUGGUACGUUGCUCCCGUGUUCUUCAAACUAAAUGGCAUGACUUGGUAGUAAUAUAUCUCUCGAUCAAUGGUGAAAGAGGUGUGCUCUUAAUCAAUGGUGCCAUCCUUAUCUGGUUGUAUCUCGAGAAUGCAUCCAUGAAGGUGAGGAGCUCAUGACCCAAGGUGGUGUCCACCAAUUGAUCCACUCAAUGGAGUGGAUAUCUUUUGGACAUACUUUGUUGAGAUCGAUGUAGUCAAUGCACAUCUUUCAUUUUCCAUUAGACUUCUUAAUAAGUACAAUAUUGGCGAGCUACUACGAGUAUUGUACGUCAGCAAUGAACCCUUCUCCCAGUAGUUUAUAGAUUUCAUUACUGAUAACUUGUUAUCAUUCAAGGGCGAAAUUUCGAGGCCUUUGCUUGAUUGGUCGAACUUUGGCAUUCUCUUAGAGAAAGCUGAUGAAUUGCACUUUCUUCUCAUCUGGUAACAUUGAGCUUGUCUUGAUGACCCAAUAGAGUUCCGUUGGUUUGUGGUGCGAAAGGGGUUUAGCCAAAUCUCUUGGGUCUUUAAGUGGCGUCUUGGGCUAGAUUUUCUUGAGUAAAGAGAUAGCCAUGAGGUUGCACUAUCGGAACUCUCUUGGGUUGCUUCUUAAUUCGCCGACCUUGAUAUUGGUCGAGAAUUUCAUUAUCAUGUGAUAGGUUGAAACAACUACAUAUAGCCUGUUUAGUGUAAGUCAUCCUAUAAUGGCAUUAUACACCGAUGGGGUAUUGACUACAAUAAACUUGGUUUUUAUUAUCUUUUAGCAUGGUUCCUUUCUAAAAGUGAUGUGUAGGUUCACGAUCUUGAGGGGGGAGAUUGAGUCGCCCGUGAAUCUCUUCAUUAAGGAAGUCAUGAGGGUAAGAUCAUUAUUUGUGUCUUAACUUUUGAAAGACAUCAAAGUAGAGAAUAUCAUAACUACUAGAGCAUCAUCAUGAUUUAGAUCGAGGCAUUCUAUCUCCUCCUCUCUAAAGGUUAUUAGUUGGUCACUUAUGGUUCGAGGACAUUUGUCGAUGAUGGCUCGGGCAUAUGCUUUGCGACCCGAGAUGCCGUCUCCUUUGGAGGUUGAGCCAUCGACAAUAAUAUGUCUAUUUGCCUUUCAAUCGGCCCCUAAGGUAGAGGGUGACGGUUCUCAACACUUUCGGAUGAAUCGACCGAGGUGCCCUUAUCGUAUGAGUUCCUCAAUAUGUUCCUUCAGGUCGUGACAAUCUUUAGUGUCGUGGUUGUAAUCAUAGUAGAAGCAAUAAUACUUGGUUUUGCUUCUUUUUUCGAGUAGAGUUCUCAUUGGCUGAUGGUCUAUGAGUAAACUUUCUCUUUUAUAUAUAUGAUUACUUCUGUCCUGGUUAGGUUCAAUGGGGUUAGCUCAGACAUUGGUUGAGACAGAUCAGACUGUUCACCUCUCCUUCGUCGUGAUGUUUGGUCGUUCAUCUUUGUCUUUUGCGAGGUUCCCCAUGCUUGUUCUAAAAUAUAACAUCGGUGAUGAUGUACUGGUUGACUCUUUGAAGUACUUCGGGCAUCAUCGUUAGUGGUCUUUCUACUAACGACUAGAAGAGGUAGAAGUGUUUUAACCCCAUAAUGAAGGACUGGAUCACGAGCAAGGGGUGGACAUUGUCUACACUUCGGAUCUCAUAGGUAAAUCGAUUAACAAAGUUCGUUAGUGUCUCCUCGCCUUGUCUUAAUCCUAGAAGCAUCGCGAUCAUGGGCCUCGGGUGUACAUUCUUGAGGAAGUAGAGCUUAAACUCUUUCACUAGUUGAGCGAGGAACUGACUGAUUGAGGUUUGAGAUGAGCGUACCACUCUCUUGCCGAUCCUUUUAAUGUAGUUGGGAAGGCAUGACACAUUAAGACGUCCGAGAUGUCAUAUAACGACAUAUGCAUCCGAAAGGUUUCCAAUGACAGGAGACAAAAACUGGUGGGAAUUGUUUCUUCCUAUAUGUUCUAAAUGAACGAGGAUCAGGCCGACGUAGAACCGACCUAUCCCUCUCUCUAAAUUAGUGGAAGCUAGGAUGCAUUUCCUCUAAGCGUCGGUCCAUUUGUUAUAAUUAGAUUUUUAGGGAGUCAAUCUUUGAGUCAUUAGAGUGGGUCUCAAACCCUAAUCAUAGCUAAAAGGUGGCAGUGACGCCUGCCAAGUUCUAUGGGUAAAGAACAGCGGGCUUUCUCAGUUGAUGGUUCAAUGGGUCGUGGAUGAGUAAGGGGAGCUGGUAGCCCAUUUGAGGAAAGGCAUAUGAGGAAAGAUGUCUUGAGUUGCAGGCAAUAUUUUAUCCAAAUGUCCGGGAAUAGGAUCGACCCUAGGAUGCUCUUGCAUCAUCGAGCCCUCCUUUCACCAAAAUAUUAGAGAAAUUUAUCGUUGAUGUCUGUAUCAACAUGACGUGGCCCUGAUCCGAGUGCGAUAAGCUGGCCGGGUUAUGUAGGAUCUUUCCAGCCUUGUUCCUCUACAAAGACCAAGGUCGAGGGGGUCCUCCCAAGUCGAUCCCUCCGACGUUCAAGUUAGUGAUCUUGUCCCUUUUUCUCUUCCUUUUGGAAGUUGCGAGUGUCUUUUUAUAUUAACCUCCAGAGAAAGAUGAGUACCCCAUGUAGAUCUCGUGGUGGGGGUAGUUUGUAACCAACCCGAAUUGCCCCUAAAUCUUCUUGGUAACUGAUGGACCGAGCUAACCCCUGAUCUUUUUGAAACAUUCCUAUGGAUAUUUCAUAAGGGAGAUUGAUCUAAAAUUGAUCUGAAACAUCCUUUAAUCUUCCUAAAAUAUUUUUACGGAUAUUUCAUAGAAGAGUUAAUUUGUAAUUGAUUUGAAUUACCUUUUGGUCUUCUUGGGGAGAUAGCUCAGAAUUUUGGUGGCUCGGAGAUUUCCUAGGUCGCUUUUUCAUACCUUGAUUCUUAUGGAUAAGAGAACAUUGGUCCUGAUAUGGUGUUGGCAUAAUAAAUGAUGGUUAGCUGAUCUUAUAUUCCCUAUCAAAUGUAAUUAAAAAAAUUACUAAAUACCAAUUCACAUUUGAAAUGUGCGUUAGGCCCUCAAUGCAUAUUUCAAAUAUGUUCUGAAACAUCCUCUUAGCAUCUAUAUCAAAUAUGAUUUAAAAAAAUUUAUCAAAUACCAAUUCAUAUUUAAAAUAUGCAUUUCAAAGCCUUAAUGCACAUUUCAAACAUGUUUCUAAAUACAACCAUUGAAUGUUAAAUAUAUCUAAUAAAUAAUACAAUAAUUAAAGUUUUUAAAAAUAAAUUUUCAUUUGAAUCAAUCCUAAAUCCCUUGAUCCAUACAAUUUAUUUUUAAGCAUAAAGCCUCAAUCCUCAUAGUUCUAUAAGAAAUUUUAAACAUAUAUAUUGAAGAAUAAUCAUAAUCCAAACCUAAUUGUAUGAAAUUAACUUAAAUUUAGGUUUGAAAAAGAAACUUGAAUCUAGGUUGGGAUUUACCUUGAUUUGGAAAAAAAAUUCAAAUUUUGAUAUUAAAUUUAAUCCUCCUAUAAAUCAACAUAUCUAAAUAAUUAAAUGUUUUGAUAGAGAAUGAGUGAGAGAGAGGAAGUGAGAAGGGAGCUUAUAGGGGUUAUUUAUAGCCAGCCAACAUGGUCUAAAUAACUAGUAUGGUAAUACUAAUACUAGUCAAUUGCAAGCCCUUAUUAGGUCUGGGUGAGGCUUAAGGAAGAGAGAGAUAAUCAAUAGAGAAUUAUAACGAAGCAUCUAUUUGUUGAAUAAUGAUUCUAAUAAUAAUAAUUAUUAUUAAAUUAUAAGUCCUAACUAUUUAAAGUCGAUUUAUAUGUACUUUUACCAUCAUCGGGAUCCAUAAAAUAUCAUAUGUUUAAUUAAGUUUAAAAUAUUUAAAAUUUUAUUUAAAAUUUUUAUUAAAAUAUUUUUGGAUCUUCCUUUUUUCUCUUCUCGUACCAUUGGCAUUGAUCAUUUUACCUCUAGUUAAAUAAUAAUUUUAUUAUCAUAUAUUAAAUAAUAAUUUUAUUAAAAUUUUUUUUAUCGUCAUGUGUUGUAUAUUAAUUCCAUAUAUCAAAAUUAACUAUCCUUGAAAAUCAAACCUUUCAAGAGUCAAUACUAUCAUUUACCUAAAAGAUUAGAGGAGAGAAUUUUUAAAAGAUAACUUUGUUUUUGUUGUAAUUAGUCAAACUUAUUAAGACCCUCGUUAACACACAAGGAUCGUCAAAGAGAAUUUUUGAAAGAUAAAUUUGUUUUUGUUGUAAUUAGACAAACUUAUUAAGACCCUCGUUAACUCGUUAACACACAGAGACCGUCAAGGAGAAUUUUUGAAAGAUAACUUUAUUUUUGUUGUAAUUAGUCAAACUUAUUAAGACCCUCAUUAACACACAGGGACCGUCAACCGUUGAGUCGGAUUGAUUGGUUCAUUGUCGAAAAUGUGUCCCUUUUGAUGACUCAUCCUAUCUGACGUGGAGAGCAAGCAUUGCGAGAAGGACGAAGGAAUCUGUAGGGAGAGGCGGUUCGCCGGGAGCGGCUUAAUCUUCAAGCGGUAAAGCUUGGUUUAGGAUCUAGGUGGUACUCUCUACUGGGUAGCCUAUUAGCCAUGCCUCUAGGCUACGUUGAUAACCCUGUACAACAUGCCUGCGCUGGGAGUGUCUCGACUCGAUCCUUCCGAUGUUCAAGUCUGGAAAAUGAAGAGGAAGGAAGACAACAAUAUCAAUAGCAUAAACGAGUGAGUAAAGAGUUUGUUUUGCCUGCUUGCCUCGGGGCUUGGCUUUUAUACCUGGGUGUUGGGUGGAGCAAACGGGUCUCUGUUACGACCCCUCUUACCAUGCAUGGUGGAGGCAUUUAAUGCAAGCGGCUUGCUGGUGUGUGCCCCCACGUACGACUCUUGGGGAUUAUCGAGAUGAGGCCUCUGGUUUGUCUUCCUUCUUUAGGUCAAGCAGGGCGUGGUCCCUUCAUCGUUCGUCUAAAAGGGAAGGCUGGUGAAGCCGGACCUUCUUGCCGACCAUUAAUGCAGAGUCAAGUUCUCUUUCCCAACUACAGGAUCGGUGAGGAGUGGGUUUCCUGCAAGGAUUAAAAUUUUGUACCGUACCGAAGUUUCGAGCUUUGCUCGGUACGAUACAAUACUGUGUACCGAGCGACAUACCUAAUUUAAACGUAAAAUCCUCUGAAAAUACCUGAAAAUAAAAAAAAAGUUAGGAUAAGAUUUUUAAGUUAGAAGUAAAUAUAGUAAUUGUAUAAGUUUAGCAAAAUCAAUGUAAAUUAGGUAAGAAUAGUAUCAUAUAAGUUUAGCAAAAUCAAUGUAAAUAAGGUAAGAAUAGUAUCACUUAUCUUUUUUAGACUUUGAGGAAUAGUUUUAUGCAAGGUUCGUAUUUCGAUCUAUUACGGAUUGUCUUUAUGUAAAUAUUGAAAUAUGUACAUAAAAAUCAUUUAAAUUGUUAGAUUAUUUUGUUACAAUAUAAAUUUUAAAGUUUAAAUAAAUUAAAUAAUCACAUAUGUAGAUAUACUUGAUUAUUGAUUCUACCACCAAAACGAACGACGGGCCUCCACGGGUGGUGGAUCGGGAUCCUCGAUCCUAUACAUCUGCAUAUCAAUAUGAUAUGUUUAUUGGACUCAAUCAUGAAAUUGAUCGCAUGACAUAGUGUAUUGAUAUACCAUAUGUCAUUGGUGCAUUAAUGUGGUGAUGAUCGUAAGUUGAUCGUCAUGAAUCAUAUUUGUUCGAUGCGACUAUUGAGGCAUAUAUUGGUGAAUGUCAGAGCUUCAGCUUUCGCUAUUGAUCUGUUACUCUGUAUCAUACUAUUGCUCGGAGAAGUAUGACCAACUAUCACUGUAUUGCUAUUGGUUGUAUGAUUCUCCAUAAUACGAUGGUUGUGAAUAUGAUGAUCUAUAUCUACAUCAUGUAGGCUCUGUCAUAUCUAUUCAAAUUUAUCCACUUCCUUUCGCUUUCCCUUCCCCUUUCACACAUAAACUUGAUCAGUACCUUAUCGAGUUCCUUGAUCUAAAUCUUGGGUGGCAUGUGUAAAAUAUUGCUCCUUGGUCCAUGCACCACCCUUAAGUUGUGUAGAUGAGACCAAUGAUUGUCCGGUAUCGUUGUUAUCAUCCGUGGAGGCACUGUUGUCCGUGUUGCUGUCAUGUCUUUGGACCGAUCGAGUUGCUGAAUGUAAUUAUGAAGGUGUUUCGUCACCUGACUUGAUUCUUUCCAAUGAUGCGGCUAAUGCUACUACCUUUCCCUUUGCCUUUGCACGUUGGGCGGACAACUGUGACCGUGGGUGUCUGUAGUUUCUCGAGCAGUUUGACUCAAUGUUAUUUGACUCCUACCACCAUGUUGUGAUCGAGGGGGAUUUUUCACCUAUUGGGGUUGUGUUUCCUCUUCCUCUAUUACCUCGGUGAUAAAACGUGAAGGACGUUGAGGAUCUCCCACCUAAUCAAGUAGAGGAUCCUCUUAGUUCUCUGCCACUUCGACCCACUCUAACAUCGGCUCUGAAUCUUCGUUAUAGAAUUGGACGUCGAUGGGAUCAAUAUCUGGUUCCUCUUAUUCAGCUUAGUACAUCGUAACCUUGGUCGAUGUUAUAAUGAACAUAUAUCAGUUUCUCUAACUGUCUAUAUGAGAGUUUGUUGUGGACCUUUAUGUGAAUCAAUGCAAACAUUGACCAAUUACGUUCGCAACCACUAGUUGUCGUCUAUACAAGUACACGAACGACAACCUUUCUUAAAUGUGGUGCAUCCUCUCUAAAUUGUAGCUAUCACUUGACUGUAAAAAGAUAUAAAUAAGAUUUUAUUAACAUAAUAAAUAAUUAAUAUCAAAUAUAAUUGAUAGUCAAUAUGUGUAACUUUUCCUCACUAGGAUCCAUAGUGUAACGACAUGAUACAGCUACAAUAUCGGAGAAUAAACGAGCUAUUUCUCGAAAUAAUCAACCCUCUAUAAGAUCAUCGGUUGUAUCAGUAGUGUUUGGCAAGAGCCGAUAUAUAACAUUUUAUAGUGCCGUUAGUAAAUCAUUUUGCGUUCCGAGAGCAUACCGAUAUUGAAUUGUUGGGUUUAGAUAAUACGCUACAAGACAUAAUUUUGUUAGUAUGAUUUUUUAUUAUAUAAGAAAUAAUAAAUUAAAUUAUUCUGAAUAUGAAUUUACCUGCAUUAUGGAUAUCUUGAUCCAUAUGAACUUCAGUCCAACGAUCAAUGAUCCGUACGUAUUGGUCGACCUUAAAAUCAUCUUUGAAUGCUUUCUUGACCUUCUCUCUUGCUGAAACAAUAUAUAUUUAAGAUACUUGUUCAUAUCAACCUUAUGGAGAAUAAUAUAAAGUGGUUUCACACCUUUUAUGAUUUCAGCCUAGUCUCCCAAAAUCUAGAGGAAAGAAUGGACUUUUCUAUCUUCUUUCCAUCGCUCAAUCUCGAAUAUCUGGAAUUAGAUCACUCUUGUAAAGUGAUCAUUAUCUUCAAGUCAUGCCUUUUUUACUAUAAUGACUUUAUGCAAUAAAAUUAGUAUGUAACCGAGUGACUCCAGGUCGGAGUAUCUCACCGUUUAUAUACUUUUGUAUGAAAGUAUGGGCUCAAUAAUGAUUAUAUAUAAACUUUGUAAUUGAUUGUGCUCAAACUACACAAUUCUUGACCGUGUCCAGCGUACCAAUAUUGUUUAGUAUUAGAUCUAUGCAAUAAGCUAUAUAUGGAGUCUAAAAUAAUAUUUUUUUCCAUCAAUUACAAACUGGCCUUCUUGAAAUUCGCUCCAUUGGUGGUUACUAUUUGGAUAUCAUAUUAUGGUUUGAUCUCCUCUAUUUUAGUGUCCAUCAAGCUCUAAAUAUAUCCUGUAUCUUGGAUAUUUUCAAAAGCAUUAGCUAACUUAUAAAACACCACCCUUCUGUUGUAAUAAAUACGAAAGUUGAUGAUACUCAUUUUUGUUGGUCCUGUCCAAGUGUCAUACAUUAGUGUCACCUCAUAUUCAUCACAUUAUCUCUCGAAGGAUUUGAUCCAAUCCUUUAAUUUUGCCAACUUCUCAUCUAAGUACACGUCGUGAAUCUCCCUCGGUGUUGGAGGUUGGAUCCCCAUGCCAGACUUUGAAUAGAUAAGACCAUACUCUGAUAAUGACCUUGGGCUGUGUUGGCUGGAAUCUUAUGGAAGUUGAACUAUUUUGAAAUUGUUUUCUUAAUAUCUCAUUUUUUUCUUGUGUAUACAUCAUCAAUCCAUGUCUAUUUCGUUAUUUGUGGGGGAUAGGCUUGCGGAUCAAUAUCUACAAUAUUUGGUGUAGACAUCUUACCAAGACCUCACAUAAAAUCACGGAGUUCACCNNNNNNNNNNNNNNNNNNNNNNNNNNNNNNNNNNNNNNNNNNNNNNNNNNNNNNNNNNNNNNNNNNNNNNNNNNNNNNNNNNNNNNNNNNNNNNNNNNNNNNNNNNNNNNNNNNNNNNNNNNNNNNNNNNNNNNNNNNNNNNNNNNNNNNNNNNNNNNNNNNNNNNNNNNNNNNNNNNNNNNNNNNNNNNNNNNNNNNNNNNNNNNNNNACCUUUGAAUUCCACUACCACUGCCAUGCUCCUCAUCUAAGUACAUGCCGUGAAUCUCUCUUGGUGUUGGAGGUUGGAUCCCCAUGCUAGACUUUGAAUAGAUAAGACCAUACUCUGAUAAUAUGGACCUUGGGCUGUGUUGGAUGGAAUCUUGUGGAAGUUAAACUAUUUUUAAAUUAUUUUUCUAAUAUUUCACUUUUUUCUUUUGUGUAUACAUCAUCAAUCUAUGUCUAUUUCGCUAUUUGUGGGGAAUAGGCUUGCGGAUCAAUAUCAAUAAUAUUUAGUGUAAGCAUCUUACCAAGACCUCACAUAAAACCACAUAGUUCACCAGACCACAUGUUACUAGUUUUGCCUAACUGAGGAGGAGCAGUUGGCUGCCUCAUGCUAGCCGACCUUUGGAUUCCACUACCACUGCCAUGCUCCAAUUAUCGAUGCCUCAUUGUUUCAUCGACCAUAUACUGCUACAUCCAAUGAUGCACGAUCUCAACUGUGAGAUCCGAGUCGACUUCAUCGCCAUAGCCCACAUAUUUAUCAUAAAUUGGUUCCUGCGUAGUCCUAUAAUAUUCUUUCUCAACUCUUGCCUUCUUUUUUAAUGUAUCUUCCUUUGCUUGUUGUAGCUUGCUUUGAAAUAAUUUAUGGAUCUCCAUCGGAAUCUUCUUGCAUUUUGUAACAUCAGGAUACCGACCGACCAAAUACAUCUUCACCCGAAUUAUUCCUCCACCCUUGUCAAUGUAGCCACAAUAAAUACAUUGUUAAUGAUAACGAUUCUCAUCUAUCUUUCGGGCAUAAACCCAUGCAUCAUCAUAUUGUUCUCCUUUGGUGUCAUGAUCCUAUCAAAUUUAAAUCAAAUGUUAUAAAAUAUAAAUAUAUUGAAUUUAUCUAAUAUCGAUAAAAAAUCAUUAAUUAUAAUAUUAAAUAAUUUUAUUAAAACAUAACAAAUCUUAUUUUACCAUCAUAAACAUGUGAAACACAUAAAAAAAAUAUUAAAUAUGUAAUUUUGAUUCAAUAUAGGUCAAAUUAUAAUAAAAUCAUCAUUAGAUAUACUAAUCAUAUGAUUAAUAUAAUUAAUUAUCCACUAAUUACUUACCCUAAUAUAUAUUAAAGAUAUUGAAUUGACCUAAAAUCAAUCAAAUUUUAAUUAAAUUAUCAUUAAAAUAACUUAAUCAUAGUAUUAAACUACUUUAAUAAAACCUAACUAAAUCUAUUUUACCAUCAUAAAUAUAUGAAACACAUAAAAAAAUAUUAAAUAUAUAAUUUUAAUCUAAUAUACAUCAAAUUAUGAUGAAAUCAUCGUUAAAUACACUAAUCAUAUAAUUAACAUAAUUAAUUACUCAUUAAUUACUUCUCUUUCAACACUAUAAAUAUGUCAAACACCUUAAUAUGUAUUAAAGAUAUUGAAUUGAUUCAAAAUCGAUCAUAUUUCGAUUAAAUCAUCAUUAAAAUCACUAAUUACAGUGUUAAAUAACUUUAAUAACAUGUAAUUAAACCUAUUUUACCAUUAUAAAUAUCUUAUAAUAUUUAAUAUACAUAAAAUAUAAAUAUUUAACUAAUUAAGUGUCUAAUUUCGAAGUAAUCAAUAUUAAUCAUACUAAUCAUAAUAUUAAAAAUCUUAAUUACUCUAAUUAGAAAAUUAGAAUGCAUGUCUCUUGAUUAAAAAAUUUUUCUUAAUCUUUCCUAAUUAGCUUUGAUUCAAUUCACAAAUCGUUGUUUGUAAAAUUUAGGAGAGUGAAAAUAUGAGAAAAAAUGAGUUUGAGGUAGUUUAAGAUAGUAUGAGAGUGAAAUAGGGGAGAAGAUAUGUUUAAAAGCCUAUGAGAAAGGGCUCCAAUGGUCACUGUUACAGAUCGGUAAUGAAGUCGAUUUCGACUGUUACUGAGCUGUGCCAAGUGGUAACGAUCGAAAUCGACCAUUAUCGAGUUGUAUCGAGCGGUAACGGUCGAAAUUUUGACCAUUAUCGCCCAAUAUACCCUCGUAUCGUCCGAUACGAGACGUUAUUGAGCAUUCCGCUCGGUAACGAGCAAUCUGCGUACUAGUGUGCUAUCAGACCAGUACGUUCCACCCGUACCGAAUGGUAUUAUUCGAAAUUAAAAAACUUAGUCUCAUGGGCCCAUUUCGAGAAGCUGGGGCAAGCAACGUGACCUCCUGUUGGCAGUCAUAGGGAGUAGGUGGUACCCGAGCUUUUGCUUAGGUAUUGCUUACGUGGCGAGGGAAGUUGGGGAAUGUUAGGAUUAUCCCUAUCAACCCUAAAUUUAUUUUUGUUGCUAUCAACACUAGACCUGUGUCAUCCAACCAAAAUGGGUUUGAUCUAUUUAAGCAUACCGUGAAACCAGGGUUUGCGAUUUCGAAUCGUACCACUUGAUACGGGCGGUACAAAUCGAUCCACCCAUAUAGGGUGGUACGAAUCAGUCCACCCAUGAACUAGUAUGCGGACCGCGCACUAACGGGCGGUCCACUCGAUAAAGCCCCAUAUCGGACGAUAUAAGGUUGUUUCGAGUGGUAAUUGUCGAUUUCGACUAUAAUUGCCCGUUACCGGGCGAUAUUAGCCUGGUUGUGGUGAGGGAAGAAGAAGCAUCCAAGGAGAAGGAAAAAGAAAGAGAGCAUUCGAAGAAGAGGGAGAACCUCGAUGUAUCCCGAUUCGGCAUCGCUCUCCCUCAACGAUCCUGAUCCAGAAGGUAAUAGCCAAGCGGCGGCUAGAGUAACGGAAGAGGCGAUCUCCUUCAUCGCCUCGUCUGUGAUUCUGCAGCUUUUUCUUUGGUGCGUUCUUCACCGAAGGCUGGAGUCUUUGGUGCGUUCUUCGCCGAAGGCUGGAGACUCCUGCACCCUUCGUCGCCUUCUUCAUCAAACGCCGCAAAUGAGGAGAUGAAGGAGACCAUGUUCUUCUACUCGUCUGAGGCCAUAUAUUGCUCGUAUUGUAUCGUACCGAGCAAAGCUCGGUAUAUCGAUACACUAUGAAAUUUCAAUUGGUUGAAACGUAUCUUGAAUUGUUUAUGGAGGAAGAAGAAAAGGAGAAGGCAUGGAGGAGAGGUGUACUAGAGUGGAAGAUGGAUGAUGGCUCUACUGGCCUCCUUGCAAGCGCAAGGAGCCAUGUCCUAGGAAACCUUCAUAAAAAUUUAAAAAAAUAUAUCUGCAAAAAUCCCAGUCUCAUGUAUUAUCAUGCAGGUGAAAUGUUCAUUCCAAUCAAAAUUAAGGACUGCAUAGAAAAUUACAUAAUACAUGAAUCUCCAUGAAUAAAUACUAAAAGGGAUUAGUAGCUUAUAAACGCUUUGUUAUAAUCAAUAUGGGCAUUAUCCUUUACCAUAACUUAAUGUUUGGCAAAGAAUAGUAGGUCAGGUUAGAGUGCCCAUCUAAAUAAUCUUUAGAGCUUACGUGCCUUGGCUACUAGUCUCUUUUGGGAUGGCAGGAAUAAAUACAAGUUGUUGGGUUACAUUGACCAGCAGGAGAUAAUAGAAAUUUGCAAGUUGGAAAGGGAAAGCCAAGAUAUUGUAAUUACAUGAUGUAAGCCUUGCAAAUAAAUAAGAACUUUGUAUUUAGUAUUGUUGACAAGGACUAUGUUAUAGCACCAUUGACAUGUCGGCUUGUUAUUAGAAUGGUUCACGACAACCACCAAGCAUACCUUGGCGAUGAGUGAUGAAAGGAGAAAUACAAACAAAAAGGAAGGACAACUCUUUGUGCAAAUAUCGGAUCUUUAUCAUUCUAGAAAAAAUAAUAUCCAAAAAAGAAAUUGAAAGUGGCAGAACAAAAAGAUCUAAGAAACGAUUUAAAGCUAUCUAAGAUAGAAUAAGAAGCUUACAAUUCACAACACUUUUUACUAUUAACAACCCUUUACUAUUUAUAGUCCCAAUAUUAUCAUUUUUUUCUUUUUUUUCUCACAACCCCUUAUUCCAUCCUCGUUGCUAUUUAUUGUUGUCUAAUCCUGCUUGUCGCCCCCUCAAUGCCUUUCUCUUAUGAGGAGGAAGAAUAAGAAGAGGAGGACGUGGAGGAAGAAGGGGAAGGGGAGAAGGAAGAAGAGAAGAGUAUUUAUGGUCAUGUGCAAAGAGAUAAUUUAAAAAUAUUAAAAAGUUUUAAAAUGAGUGUGAAUAUUAAAAAAAGAUUAUAAAUAGUAAUCUCCUAGAAUAAUAUAAGGAGGAAAGGAGGAUAAUAUCAACUAUUAAGUCAAAAAGAUACUCAAAUUUUCAUUAACUAAAUUCCUAUUAAUGACAUGUUCCUUAACAAAGACAAUUUAAUAGGAGAGAAAAGAAACAAUAAUUAUCACAUGAACUAAUUUUUACUUUUUUUCUUAAUCAUAAAAUUUAAUACAAUAUGUAAAAAUUUAAUAUUCAUUGCUACUAUAUUGGUACAAAUGAAUAUACGAACUCCAUAGUAAUAUAAAAUAGAGAAAAGGAGAGGAAAAUGAGAAUAUAACGACUUUGGGGGAUGAAGAGGAAGAAGUGGAGACGUAGAAGGAAGUAUAUCGGUAAAAAGUUCCAGAGACAAAAUCCUGAAUGGGGUGGGAGCAUCAAUUAUGUGGUGGAGCAGAGUAGUAAGAAAUAAUGAUACAAAGGAGGUGUAGGAAAUAAGAGAGUAAGCACAUUAAAGAGAGAGAGAAAAAGAAAAGAUAAUUGUCACAUCUAUCUAAAAUAAAAAAGAAUUGAUUUUGAUAUAAAUCAAUAACUCUACCGAUAGGUCCAUGGUCAGGUACAAUUUAUUUCUAAUAUGCUUGCUUUCAAUAUUUUAAAACAUGUUUCAAUAACAUCAAUAUUGAUUUGAUACCUAUUUAUUAUCAUAUUUGUCACACCCAACAUUCGUAAUUUCAUGUAUCAUAUUUGUCAAGGUUCGGAUUGGUACCAUAGUAGUUCAUACCAAUAUUCUAUGUGUUGGUACAUCAUUCUGUAUCAGACUUCAAAAGAUCCUAAAAAGAAGAUUGAAAAACAAAAAAAUUCUCAAUACAAAGACUGUAUCUGGUACAAAUCCUAUAUAGUGUAAAACAAAAAAAAUUCUCAAAGGAAAACUGUAUCAUGGUACAAAUCCUAUAUAGUGUAUCAAAUGAUACAGGGCUAUAAAAUAUAUUGGGCAAUACAAACCCGAUACUAUGUACCAAUUUGAUUUUCUUAAACCCAUGUAUCAAUUGGUUGUUGAAACUGUAAUUAUCAACCCGAAUGGGAUGAUAUUGUGAACCAGGAUCCUAUCUGCAUGUAUCAGGUGUACUUAUACCAACUAGUCAUGUUAUAUAGAUCCAUGUGAUACAUCAUGUUGCUAAUAGGAUGGUUAAAAUAAAAAAAGCAUGCAGUUCUUGUGCAUUAGGCAGCUUAAAGCCAGCUAUAUUUCAUACUAUUCUUGGAUAGUCAGAAAGUACUUCCCGAUAUUUUUUUUAAGUUUACAAGGUACUACAGCACAUAUGCAAUUGGUAAAGGUUCAGAACAAAACUUUUACCAUGUUGGGUGGAUGCACAAUGAAUGCUGAUAUCCGAAUGACUUUCUGGUUUGAAUGGUUUUUUUUAUUCUUUUGCAGUUUGUUUAUCAUUUUUUUUUUUGUUUCUCUUUUCUUUUUGUUAGUGUUCUCUUUUCUCUUUGAUGUCUAUUCUAUUGUUCUGCACUUAUUGUUUCUCUUCUAGUAUCAUCUUUGCCUGAUUUCAUUUCUCAUCCUGUAUAAUGAAUUCCUAGUGCAGCUGUACAGAUUUCCUUCCAAUUGUCUUUAAGAGAAAUAGAGAUGAGGACGUUCUAUGAAUGUCUAUGUUACAAGAAAAGGGUUCACACUGUGAAAAGCUACGGAUGUUACAGUGAAGAACAAAAUAAAUGAAUUAACUCCAUUUGUGCAGUGGACUGAAAAGCUAACAAAUGCACCGAUAAAUUUAGAUUCAAACAUUUUAAAAUUUUCUGCCAGACAAUUCAUGUUAUAUAAAUUUUUUUAUAUAAACUAUCAAGCAAUGGUCUAAUCUACCAAUAAGGGAAGUUUUAAUUGACCUAAUGGAAACUAUAACCUAACUGGAAUAUUAGCACCGCUUCACCUGAUCAAACCUUGAGUGGAUACCAAAUAUGUUUGUUCUAAACUUUGUUUGCUGGUUUUUACUUGAUCUAUGAGUGUAAAAUUUAAAUAAAUUAAAUAAUCAAUCGAUGGAUAUACUUGAUUCUACCACAAAAAAGAAUGACAGAAUUCCACAGGCGAUGAAUCAGAGUCUUGAAUCCUUUGUAUCGGUAUAUCAAUUUGAUAUGUUUGUCAGACUUAAUUCAAAUUAAUCCCACGAUAUAAUAUACUCAUACACUGUAUGUCAUUGGUGCAUCAAUGUAGUGAUGGUCAUAAUUUGAUCGUCGUGAACCAUACGUGUUCAAGGCGACUCCUAAGGUAAGUACAAUUGUGCCAUGUAUUAUUGCAAAAUAUGGAGAGUGCCAGAACUUCUACUUUUGCCACUGAUCUAUUGCUUCGUAUCAUAAGAUCGCAUAGUACUAUUUCUUGGAGAAGAAUGACUAGUUAUCAUCGUUGCUCGAAGAAGAAUGACCAACUAUUAUGUCAUGCUCCAUACUCUGGAUCUUGGGUGGCAUGCUUAAAAUAUUACUUAUCGAUCCAUGCAACACCUUCAAACUAUGUAGAUGGGACCAUCGACUCUCUAAUGUUGCCACCAUCAUCGAUCACGAUACUACUAUACACAUCGCUAUCAUAUCUCAAACCGAGCGAGUUGCUGAAUGUGAUUGAGAAGUUGCCUACGUACCUUUGAUUAGAGAGUUCUUCCUCUAACUUAGGUAUUAAUCUUUCCUAAUUAGCCUCCCAAGUUUGAUCUAAUUCAUAAAUCAUAGUUUUGUGAAGUUUUAAGAGAGUGCAAAUGUGAAAAUAAGAUAAA
rnacentral:lncRNA from 1 species